GACGAACGCUGGCGGCGUGCUUAACACAUGCAAGUCGAACGAAGAGCGAUGGAAGCUUGCUUCUAUCAAUCUUAGUGGCGAACGGGUGAGUAACGCGUAAUCAACCUGCCCUUCAGAGGGGGACAACAGUUGGAAACGACUGCUAAUACCGCAUACGAUCUGACCUCGGCAUCGAGGAUAGAUGAAAGGUGGCCUCUACAUGUAAGCUAUCACUGAAGGAGGGGAUUGCGUCUGAUUAGCUAGUUGGAGGGGUAACGGCCCACCAAGGCGAUGAUCAGUAGCCGGUCUGAGAGGAUGAACGGCCACAUUGGGACUGAGACACGGCCCAGACUCCUACGGGAGGCAGCAGUGGGGAAUCUUCCGCAAUGGACGAAAGUCUGACGGGGCAACGCCGCGUGAGUGAUGACGGCCUUCGGGUUGUAAAGCUCUGUUAAUCGGGACGAAAGGCCUUUUUGCGAAUAGUGAGAAGGAUUGACGGUACCGGAAUAGAAAGCCACGGCUAACUACGUG
rnacentral:rRNA from 1 species